GUGGACAAAAAUCUUUUAGUCCUUUUAACCGAUACAAGGUAGACGUCUCUCUCUUAAAUUUAAAAAAUAGAGGAAGGAGGAAAAAGGAGAAGAAAAGGAGGAAGAGGAGGAAAAGAAGGCGGAGGAGUAAGAACAAGAAGGAGACGGAGAAAUGGAAGAGGAAUAGGAGUCAGGAGGAGGGAAAAGAAGAGGAGAAAAUAAAGCAACCACGUAAUUAUAGGGUCCUUCCCAUGAUCUUCAAAAGCAAGUAUUUUCACCUUAGUUUGCAGGAACGCAGCAAAUAAGAUGGCCUACUACACAGAGCCAAUGUGUGACAGAAGAUGAACAGAAACCCAGGAUUAUCUUCACUACUGAAACUUUGUCAUGCUUUAAAUUCCACCGAUGAUAUGGAAAUGACAUAAGACAUACCAAGUCAGCAUUGCGUGCCUGGGAAGUAAGAACAGCUCGUUGGCGUCCUGGAAAGCCUGGUGGGUCCACACUCUAGGUACCUGUACCAUCCAGGGAUGGUGAAGACGGACCCCCGAGAGCUCUUACAUACAAAGUGAAUCCGGAGACAACCAGAAGCAACUUUACAACGAUCAGAAGACAAUAAGACCGGAAAGAGAAAACUGACUCUCUGUUGGCUUUCAUGGCAGCUGGGGACAAGACCCAAGCCACAAGAAUUAGUAGAAGCAGAUGAAGGUUUAUCCUGUCCUGUACCCAUUACUCCAAAGAAAAAAAAUUGCCAAAACAAACAAAAACAAGCAAAAAUUGUCAAUAAAACAGAGGUUCCCAACUAA